GUUCCAUUUAAGUCUAUCAAUAUUAAUUUUGAUAUGCUCAUAAAUUUAAUUGAUAUUUGAAAUCAAUUUCCUAAUAUUGUUCAAGGCUAUUUCUCAGAAAAUAUUUAUUCUAUUCCCAAAUGAAAUAUGAAUAUUUAUUGAUGAAACUCAUCGUUGGUGUUCUUCAAUAACUACUUGAAAAUCUAGUCUGCUUAAUUAACAUGAUACUUGUAAACAACAGGCAUUCACUCCUGAUUUUUAAAUACAGAUGGAUUGCCAUUUCAUAUGAUUAGUUCAAAUGAAAAUACCCACUAUCUUUGGUAUCUUUUGGUAAACAUAUAUUUACGAUUUCAUAGAGUUGUGUUAUUUUGUAUUACAAUUUCAUCAUUUAAAAUUAAUUUUAUGCACAGCACUUUAAAAUAGUUCAUGUUCUUAUUAUAAGAUAAUUAUACAUAUUACAGACUACCAAUAUCAUAUUGAAUUUUAUAAGUUAAAACUAUAUUGACGAUUUUAUUGAAUUAGUAUAUAUAUUUGUUUUCAUUAUUAAGAUUAACAUUACGUACGACACUGUAGAAGAAUGAUGGUCUUAUUUUUGCCUAAUUAUAUAUAUUACAGACUGCCAGUGUUUGAACGAUGAUUCCUCUGUAUCGUACUUCCCCUAUUGGUCUACGCGAGGAGGAUGGCCUUAUUAUAAGGUAAUUAUAUAUAUAUUUUACAGACUACCAGUGUUUGAACGGCAAUUCCUCUGUAUCGUACUGUCCGUAUAGGUCUAAACGAGGAGGAUACCCUUAUUAUAAGAUAAUUAUAUAUAUAUUUCAGACUACCAGUGUUUGAACGGUGAUCCCUCUAUAACGUACUGUCAGUAUUGGUCUUCACAUGGAGGGUGUGAUAAGAACAACAUAGAUACGUAUGUAGGAAGUGCAUGGUGGGGGAAUGGAUCGUGGCUAUAUGUGGCAUAUAUGCAAACGGGAGUGUAGAUUUCUGUUUAGAACAUUUUUUAAAUUCAGGUCUAGAUUCAGGUUACAUUUGUGAGUGAUUUUGUUUAUAGACUACCAGAUACCAGUGAUACGCUUUUAAUUUAUAGACCAUUCAUUGGAUCAAGCUGUUGAUAACAAUGUUUAAUAUGUCAUUAUAGCAGAAGACUUUCUGAAACCAAAUAAUGUCCGAAUGAAAAAUAUUAUCAGUAGAUACGUUUCAGUAUAUCGACAGACCUACCAAUCUACAGAUAAUUCUUGUUUAGAAUAAGUGUUUGCUUUGUAAGAAAUAUAGAUAUAUAGAUCUUGUUUGUCAUUAAAAAAAUUAAAAAUAUACAAGAGACGCAACUGCUACAAUCACAUUGUGUAUAAUAUCAAGCAUAUUAACAUUAUAAAAAUCUAAAUGAACGAUAGAAUGAGUAUUUUUUAUAAGC
rnacentral:lncRNA from 1 species